AACGCCCGACGUCCCUCUCCCUGUCUCCCAUCUGCACGCCGCCCCGCCCAACCCAACCUCCAGCUUUCCCACACCACUGCUCGAGCCCUAGGACGCUGCCACAAAGAAGAGGGACAGGAGAGGAUAGCUGAGGGUUUAAGCGAGGAGAGAACAGAACGAAUCGAAGGACAGAGAUUCAGAGAGAGAGAGAGGCGGAGGUUUUUCUCCAUCUUCGUCGUCCCCCGAUCGAUCCAGGAGGGAACCGCAAGGCUUUCAGCAAUCGUCUACCAUGAGUGGAUGGCUUGUUCCCGCCCGGCGACCUGCCUGAGGAUCAGAUCGAUGGCCCGGGCCGCCAGAUCGAUGGGCGAAGGGGCGUGAUGAAGACACCAAAGGUAGCAACGACGGUGGCCGGAUCAAAGCACAGUGACGGAGGAGCUGAAGGACAGGCUGCUCCCAAGCCACCAUUAUCAGAUUUCACGGACGAAGGGCACGGGCGCAAGAAGCUGACUGCGCUCGUUGCGCAUCGGUGCGUGGAGAUGGAGGUAGGGUCCUCUUGGUGGCGAUGAUUGACGAGCACGGAGGAAGGGGGCGUGGUGGUGGAGGCAAGGGCGUGGUUGCUGAUCGAAUGUGCCUGCCCGUUGCCGCCUGCUCUGAGUUGUACUGCGGCCGUGCUAUGCAAGCACCUCAGGUUUCAGUGGGGUGCUAGAGAAGGUUCCUUAUGUGAUGAACCAAUUAGGAGUGUGAAGUUCAAGAUCUUUAAUGAAUAAAUGCAAUCACUCCAGAACCAUACCGUGGUGGUGAUCAAAUAAUCCCAGAGCCCGCCGGGUUGUCUACUCAGCCUUGCCUGAUGGCUAAUCCCCGUCUUAUGGAGCCUGUUUAUUAUGUUGAGGUUAGUCAAGGACUCCUUGCUCUUGAAAAUAGACUUACCAUUGCUAAUGGCUGUAACGACGUGUACAUGAGAUAAAUCCUAACUCCAUUGCUAAGGAAGAUUCUUCUAAGUUGAUCAGGUUUCUACAGUCAUUUUAGUAUUACCUUUUGGAAGAACGGUAAAGCUAGAACUGUCUGCUAAUAUUUCCUUGCAGUGGUUACCUCUUAGUAUUUUGGCAAUCAGGUUGUGGAAUAGGUUCACCCUCAUAUUAAUGUAGGUUCCAGUUAAAGGAAUCAUGUGAAUCGUAGGUUUAUAUAUUCACAAAUGGACCUAUAUACUUUUGAUGUGAAUAACUAAAGGAAUAUAUUCCUUCUUUUAAUUAGUGAUAUUCAGUUUGGUGAGGUUUACCAAUAAAAUGAAAUGCCCAACAACUGUUCUUUUAUACUGCGUCUUGCAUUCUGAAACUUAUGUUUAGCGCCUAUGUAAGGAGAGUGCCAGCCACUGAGGCCAGUGAAUUAAGGGUGUGGGUCGAGUGGCACAAUGAGUUAGAUAAAUAUGCAUAGUUGCAAGAUUGGUCUGUAAAAAGGAGGAUAGUUUCUUGAAUGGAUUAAGGUUAGGGAGGUUUCCAUCAUGUACUACAGCAUUAUAAUGGUAACCAACUUUGGGACACACAUAACAUAGUUGAAGCUAUGUCUAUGGGACUCAUAGAAGAGUUAGUUCCUACUCCUGAACUAGCUCAUGACUGGUCGUACUCUUAAACUAGCUCACGACUGCAUAAAAAAUUUCUCAUGUAAAUUCUUAGAAUUUUUGGAAAAAUCUAUUAACCAUUUGAUACCUUUUCUGCUACUUUUUUGACAUGUUUCUAUCUUUCAAUUUCUCGGAGAUGCUUUGAUAAACUCUGUAGGUGCUUUAUUACCUGUACAGUUGUGUAGUGAAUGGAUGUCGCUGUACUGCAAAGGCAUUUUGCACAUCCGUGCUUGUGAAGACAAUCUGAUGUCCUUCCAUAUAUUGUUCUGGAGGAUGCAGUCUUUUAAACAUCCAGCAUCCCUCACCACUGAUUCCGCUCAAUUUGACAGCUUCUACUGAAAAUUAAUCACGACAACCAUGACCAUGAUGAUAUACCUCCAGGAAUUUUCAUUGACCUGGGCUUUAGUUUGUGAUGUGGAAAUACACUAUAUUGCUUUGCAACGUAGCAAGGUAAAUAUAAGCUGAUUUGUAUCCUCUUACAUACUUUUUCUUAUCUACUAUUCUAAUUUGGAGUCCACUGGAAGUACUGUAGUAUAUUUAGUUGAUGCAUAGGUCCACAUGUUGUUGUAGUGUAUGACUAUAUAGUUGCCAAAACAACUCAAAUUCUCCAUGUGCGUCGCACUUAUUCAAAUAUUCUCAAAUUACUAUUACUGGAGUGCCAUACUGUAGUAGAUCUCUCAUAUAGUCAUGUCAUAUUUACUGCAUGGUUGACCUUGUAUGUUAUGUUCAACAAUAGAUGGAGAAAGAUGAAUCUCUGUAGGUUGUUGCAGGCUAACUUUUUGAAACAUUGAUUAUUUGGCAUCAGUUGUUGAUGUAUUGUCUGAAAUUUGGUUAUCCUGGAUCCAAACAGAACUACACCUGGUUCCAGUAGGUCAGGUUUCUUUGUAUUUUCUGUGCGUUCCAUUCAGAUGUGUCUUUUUUAGCUAUCAUUUCUGCUUGGGUCACCCUUAUUUGCUUUGGAAGAUACAACAAAGAAACAACUUUUGUUGAGUUUCCGUUGAUAUAAUCCAGGAGAUCCGAAGACACAGGCUGGUGUCUUGAUGAAAUAGAAAAGAUUCACUUGUUUUCUAUUGAAACUUUUAGGCACUAACCAAUUAGAUAUGUCAGCCGUGGGUAUUUAAAUCACAACAUUGAAAAUAUACUUAUUUGCACAUCGCAAAAGCCUCCUUUUCAGCUUAUUUUUUCUAUGCACUGCCUGUUAUGUUUAUACUUGGUCUACCUAUUGCAACCAUUUGUCAUAUUGGAAACACCAGUGCUUUAUGCUGGUCAAUAUCGGAAACACUGAUAAUUGUUUGGCCAAAGAUAUAACGGAGUUGGGAGGUCUCAAGGAGACAUCAAAGUUAUUUAGGGAGUUCUACCAUCUUAACUUGAUAUCUGCACAAUUUUUGUAAACAAAAUUGUUCCUAUAACAUGAAAAUUGGCAUGAACUAUCUACAGCUUUUAGAUAUAUGAUGUAUUUGAAAAAGCUUAGUACAUAAGAAAACAACGUAAUGCUAGCCUUGCCUCAUUGUGGGGUGUAACUCUGGAUUUGUGAUUUUAAGGCUUACAAUUGAAAUUUAUUGAUGAUCAUAAUAAUAGUGGUGUGAUAUUUUAUUGUACUGUGCAUCAAAGUUUCGAAAAAUAAUCAGCUAACAGGAAUAGCAGAGCUCCAACGAGUUCUGAGAUGCCAUUACAUUCUUUUAUUUUGUCUUCUGUUUUACAUUAUGCUUUGAUUUUUUUAGAUCUUUGACAUUAUAUAAUUUUUAAUUGGCUAAUGCAAUAGUUUUCUUUUCUCGAUAAAGGAAAUAUAUUAAUAAUGCAACAAUUUUCAUAUUAUAGUUGUGCUCGUUGCUGAACAUAUGCAUUGAAUAAACUUUGGUAUGUACAUUAAUUAAAUGCAGGUAUGUCGCAGUGCCUGAUGAGGGUUGUAAUUUCAACAAAGGCUACUUGUU